AUGGAUUGGGUCCGUCAGGCCGUCGGGAAGGGACUGGAGUGGGUCGCCCGUAUCAGCAGCGGCAGUGGGAGUAGCACACACUACGAUGAUGCAGUCAGAGGGCGAUUUACCAUCUCCAGAGACAAUCCCAAGAACCUGCUGUAUCUGCAAAUGACCGGCCUGAGGCCGGAGGACACUGUGCAGGAUUCACAUUUUGUGGUAGCAGCUUUAGAAGGUGUCCGGUCCCAGGGCCAGCUGGUGGAGUCUGGAAGGGUUGUGAAAAGCCCCGCAGACUCUGUCACCAUCACCUGCAAAGCCUCUGGGUUCCCCGAAAUCAAUUACUACAUGAGCUGGCUCCAACAGGAUCCCGGAAACAGACUAGAAUCAGUCAGUGAUUCAGUGAAAGGCCGAUUCACCAUCUCCAAGGCUAAUUCCAAGAAUAAGAUGUAUCUGCAAAUAUCCGACCUGCAAUCCGAGGACGUUGCUGACUAUUCCUGUGCGAUAGACACAGUAUAACCCCUUCUCCCGGCAACUGCGAGGGGGCAGCAGUGACAGACACCCCGCUUCGGGCUUAGACAGGA